rnacentral:misc_RNA from 1 species
CGAAGCUUGGCACUGCUCACAAAUGGAGGAAGAGACGAAGAAAAAACGUAUCGAAGAGGCAAAAACAGGGUUUGGUUUGCUAAGCGAAGAUAUAGUUGAAAAGAUACUGAGAAGAUUACCAGCCCCAUCGCUGGCAUCAGCGGCAUGCGUCAGCAAAUUAUGGUACCAGAAUUGCAAUCGAAUCCUUUCUCGACCAAAGCUCGCCUCUGCUAUAUCUCUCAACCCUUCCCUUGACAUUGCUGUUCAAGAGGUUCUUGAUAAAGUUCUCUCGGAGCCCAUUCGACCACAUUUUGCCAUUGCAAAUGGUUUUGGCAGUACCUUCUGCCUGCAGAAAGCAUUUGAUUUGUUAGCAGGAAAACU